rnacentral:rRNA from 1 species
GUGGGGAAUAUUGGACAAUGGGCGCAAGCCUGAUCCAGCCAUACCGCGUGGGUGAAGAAGGCCUUCGGGUUGUAAAGCCCUUUUGUUGGGAAAGAAAUCCUGUCGGUUAAUACCUGGCGGGGAUGACGGUACCCAAAGAAUAAGCACCGGCUAACUUCGUGCCAGCAGCCGCGGUAAUACGAAGGGUGCAAGCGUUACUCGGAAUUACUGGGCGUAAAGCGUGCGUAGGUGGUGGUUUAAGUCCGUUGUGAAAGCCCUGGGCUCGACCUGGGAAUUGCAGUUGAUACUGGAUCACUAGAGUGUGGUAGAGGGAUGCGGAAUUUCUGGUGUAGCAGUGAAAUGCGUAGAGAUCAGAAGGAACAUCCGUGGCGAAGGCAGCAUCCUGGGCCAACACUGACACUGAGGCACGAAAGCGUGGGGAGCAAACAGGAUUAGAUACCCUAGUAGUCC